rnacentral:rRNA from 1 species
ACUACAUGAAGCCGGAAUCGCUAGUAAUCGCGGAUCAGAAUGCCGCGGUGAAUACGUUCCCGGGUCUUGUACACACCGCCCGUCACACCAUGGGAGUUGGAAAUGCCCGAAGUCAGUGGCCCAACCGGAAGGGGGGGAGCUGCCGAAGGCAGGUUCGAUGACUGGGGUGAAGUCGUAACAAGGUAAC